AGAAAGAUAGGUUAUAAAACCGCUGAGCUGUGGAUUCAGAGAUGUACGAUAUACUCUUUUUC
rnacentral:tRNA from 1 species